rnacentral:rRNA from 2 species
CGGCCUAUCAGCUUGUUGGUGAGGUAAUGGCCCACCAAGGCGAUUACAGGUACGGGCUCUGAGAGGAGAAGCCCGGAGAUGGGUACUGAGACAAGGACCCAGGCCCUAUGGGGCGCAGCAGGCGAGAAAACUUUGCAAUGUGCGAAAGCACGACAAGGUUAAUCCGAGUGAUUUCUGCUAAAGGAAUCUUUUGUUAGUUCUAAAAAUACUAGUGAAUAAGGGGUGGGCAAGUUCUGGUGUCAGCCGCCGCGGUAAAACCAGCACCUCAAGUGGUCAGGAGGAUUAUUGGGCCUAAAGCAUCCGUAGCCUGUUCUAUAAGUUUGCGGUUAAAUCUAUACGCUCAACGUAUAGGCUGCCGUAAAUACUGUAGAACUAGGGAGUGGGAGAGGUAGACGGUACUCGAUAGGAAGGGGUAAAAUCCUUUGAUCUAUUGAUGACCACCUGUGGCGAAGGCGGUCUACCAGAACACGUUCGACGGUGAGGGAUGAAAGCUGGGGGAGCAAACCGGAUUAGAUACCCGGGUAGUCCCAGCUGUAAACGAUGCAGACUCGAUGAUGCAAUGGCAUAGAGCUAUUGCAGUAUCGCAGGGAAGCCGUUAAGUCUGCCGCCUGGGAAGUACGUACGCAAGUAUGAAACUUAAAGGAAUUGGCGGGGGAGCACCACAAGGGGUGAAGCCUGCGGUUCAAUUGGAGUCAACGCCGGA